AAAAAUACACGUGGAAAUGUGGUUGACUCUUCCCACUGCAUCUUGCUUUCUCCAGGAAUCGCUUCUAGGCAAAACUCGGGCCAGAAAUAUGAUCACGUUUUCAAGCAGCUGCAAAAUUUUACACAUGAAGCGAACGAGCAGUUCUCGGGAAAGGAAUGACAGCUGCAGCAGAACAGGAGCAGUGCCCCUACCUCAAAUACGUCAGCAACGAAGGGUCUAUUUACUGUCUAUUCCUCCAGUUUCUGCAGCGCUGCCUCCUGUGGCCUGGUGGCAGGAGAGGAAAGUCUCCUUAGGAGCAGCCUGGGAUGUGAGACAGGUUUCCACACUGUCCUCACACACUCUUCCAGAACCCAACCUCUCUUUUUCUCUGUGCUGUGUCUUGAGGCACCAGUGCAAGACAAGGCCUGUGCUUACAAGGGCUGCCCACAUUCAGGACCCCUGAGAGCCAACUAACUGGUCAGUGCCACGGAGAUCUGGCCAAGAUUUAGCUCUGGAUUUCUCUCCAGGAAAAAACUACACAUUGGAAGAAAGGGACAGCCCCCACUGUUCUCCAGCCUUUUUCUUUUGUGCCGCAAUGCA